UAGUAGUAGUAGUAGUAGUAGUAGUAGUAGUAGUAGUAGUAGUAGUAGUAGUAGUAGUAGUAGUAGUAGUAGUAGUAGUAGGGAUGACAGGUGGAAACAGACAGGUGUGUUUUGUACAGGGACUGCCACGUGUAGGCCUGAUGGCUUCCUACACCAACCCUUGUGUUCUUAGUAGUAGUAGUAGUAGUAGUAGUAGUAGUAGUAGUAGUAGUAGUAGUAGUAGUAGUAGGGAUGACAGGUGGAAA